rnacentral:rRNA from 1 species
GAUGAACGCUAGCGACAGGCUUAACACAUGCAAGUCGAGGGGCAGCAUAGAAGUAGCAAUACUUUGGUGGCGACCGGCGCACGGGUGAGUAACGCGUAUGCAACCUACCUAUCAGAGGGGAAUAACCCGGCGAAAGUCGGACUAAUACCGCAUAAAACAGGGGCACCGCCUGGUGAUAUUUGUUAAAGAAAUUCGCUGAUAGAUGGGCAUGCGUUCCAUUAGGUAGUUGGCGAGGUAACGGCUCACCAAGCCGACGAUGGAUAGGGGAACUGAGAGGUUGGCCCCCCACACUGGUACUGAGACACGGACCAGACUCCUACGGGAGGCAGCAGUGAGGAAUAUUGGUCAAUGGGCGAGAGCCUGAACCAGCCAAGUCGCGUGAAGGAAGAAGGAUCUAUGGUUCGUAAACUUCUUUUGCAGGGGAAUAAAGUGCAGGACGUGUCCUGUUUUGUAUGUACCCUGAGAAUAAGGAUCGGCUAACUCCGUGCCAGCCGCCGCCGUAAUAC